GGCGACGAUGACUGCGGAGAUUUAAGUGACGAGCCGCCCUACUGCGCUCACGUGAGCAAACACCACUGCGCGCCCAACGAAUUCCAGUGCCGAAACCGGAAAUGUAUCACAAACCAAAUAUUAUAAUCCGGUGCUAUCGCGCAUUUCCCUGAUGGCGAAUAAGGGUGGGGCUGGAGGUUAGGUAACAAUUGCAAUCAAGGCAAGCCGGUAAAAUAUAUAUUUCGCCUUUGUUACGUGAGUUUUUUUAAAUAAAACAAAAGAAUUCUACUGAUGAUGAGUUGCUAUUGUGUUAUGUAAAUAGCUCCAGUGACAUCUAGAGUGGUGUUCCCUAAAUCAAUUCUUUUUUUUCUGAGUGUGAUUUUUUUUUUUUUAAUCUCGUCUGCUGUCGAAUCACUUUGAUUUGAUUUGUUUUAGGAUUGACAUUUGGGAUUCUUGACGUAACGCAGUAGGAUAACUAGCCAGUAAUAACAUCCUGUGUCGAUUCAAUUUCCAAAACUUGUCAAUUGAAAAAUUUGCAUUCGAUUUCAAAGUGGAGGGGGACUGCUCUUGCAAAUAGACGAGAGAGGCUAUUCGGCCAACUUUUGUGUGCUCAUAAAUGGGACAUUCGAGACUGGGGAAACAAGUGAUACGCAACCGAAUGACGUGAAUGCCAAGAAUAAAUGUCAACGUCGACAGCCCGGAAUAAUCUACACGAAGAGUUUACUCAGAAAAUUUGAUCCAGUUGACUAAAUGCUAAUCAUUUUAAAAAGGUGCAGAUAUACAAUUCCAGAGUGUGGCCACUAAACGCUGAUCCUCUUACAAGCUCGGUGACCAGCGCGAUCGAAGACUGUUAAUCUUACAAACUACACCACUUCCGG